rnacentral:lncRNA from 1 species
CGUUUGAGAUAGUCAAUUGAUGAAGAUUGCCAAAGCUUAAAACACUACCCAAUCUUCUAAAUAUCUAAUAAAGCAUGUAGUCACUUAUCAAAACUGAACUAAUCAUCCUCUCUAUUUCAUCAUCAACUCGAGUAAAGAGAUGUAUUUCCUAUUUGAACAAAUACCAACUCCUAUUUCUCAUAUUUGUUCGAUGACAGCCCAAAAAAUUAAAAUUUUCACGU